CCUACGGGAGGCAGCAGUGAGGAAUAUUGGUCAAUGGCCGUAAGGCUGAACCAGCCAAGUAGCGUGAGGGAUGACUGCCCUAUGGGUUGUAAACCUCUUUUAUGCGGGGAUAAAGGUCUCCACGUGUGGAUGUUUGCAGGUACCGCAUGAAUAAGGACCGGCUAAUUCCGUGCCAGCAGCCGCGGUAAUACGGAGGGUCCGGGCGUUAUCCGGAUGUAUUGGGUUUAAAGGGAGCGUAGACCGGUCUUUAAGCGAGCCGUGAAAUCUUGUGGCUCAACCAUGAGAGUGCGGCGCGAACUGGAGGGCUUGAGUGCGGGGAAGGCAGGCGGAAUUCGUGGUGUAGCGGUGAAAUGCUUAGAUAUCACGAAGAACCCCGAUGGCGAAGGCAGCCUGCCGCAGGGUGACUGACGCUGAAGCUCGAAAGCGCGGGUAUCAAACAGGAUUAGAUACCCGGGUAGUC
rnacentral:rRNA from 1 species